rnacentral:rRNA from 1 species
GGGUUAGUAGGUUGGUCAUGCCUCUGGUAUGUACUGGUCUCACUGAUUCCUCCUUCCUGAUGAGCCGUAAUGCCAUUAAUUUGGUGUUGCGGGGAAUUUGGACUGUUACUUUGAAAAAUUAGAGUGUUUAAAGCAAGCUAACGCUUGAAUACAUUAGCAUGGAAUAAUGAAAUAGGACGUUCGAUCCUAUUUUGUUGGUUUCUAGGAUUGACGUAAUGAUUA